AGGACGAACGCUGGCGGCGUGCUUAACACAUGCAAGUCGAGCGAGGCCCCUCCUUCGGGAGGGUGUCCUAGCGGCGAACGGGUGAGUAACACGUGGGCAACCUGCCCUCAGCUCUGGGAUAAGCCUGGGAAACUGGGUCUAAUACUGGAUAUGACUGCGCAUCGCAUGGUGUGUGGUGGAAAGUUUUUUCGGCUGGGGAUGGGCCCGCGGCCUAUCAGCUAGUUGGCGGGGUAACGGCCCACCAAGGCGACGAUCGGUA
rnacentral:rRNA from 1 species